rnacentral:rRNA from 1 species
CGUGCAGGCGGCUUGUCAGGUCCGAUGUGAAAGCCCCGGACUCAACCCGGGAAGCGCAUUGGAAACCGGCAGGCUUGAAUACGGGAGAGGGCAGUGGAAUUCCUGGUGUAGGGGUGAAAUCCGCAGAUAUCAGGAAGAACACCUGUGGCGAAGGCGGCUGCCUGGACCGAUAUUGACGCUGAGACGCGAAAGCGUGGGGAGCAAACAGGAUUAGAUACCCUGGUAGUCCACGCCGUAAACGAUGAGUACUAGGUGUUGCGGGUAUUGACCCCUGCAGUGCCGCAGCUAACGCAUUAAGUACUCCGCCUGGGAAGUACGGCCGCAAGGCUAAA